AUGGCUUCUCAGGGGGUUCUGCUGCCUCUCAUACUGCUUUAUAUUCAGGGGAGUUGGGCAGAUAUUACACUGACACAAUCUCCAAAUGAUAUCACUGCGAAUCCAGGAGACACAGUCACCAUCUCAUGUAAAUCCAGUACUGGUAUCAGCAAUGCGUUAAACUGGUACCAACAGAAACCAGGACAACGUCCAACACUGAUCAUCUACUGGGCAACCACUCUGCAGUCCGGAGCCCCAACCAGGUUCAGUGGAUCUGGAUCAGGAACAGAUUUCACUCUUACAAUCAGAGACAUAAAGGAAGAAGAUUUUGCAGUUUAUUACUGUCAGCAGAGUUGGGAUUACCCUCUCACACAGUGA